AUGGUUGUUAUCUCUUUUGGUUCAAAAGUUACAGACGUUUUUCUUUAAAAAUCAUAAAUUAUUGAAAAGGUGUUAUUACGGGUUGCGGCAAACAAAAUUAUAUCUUUUACCAGUAUUUAAAAGAAGCAAUAUUGUUAUAAAAUAUAUCAAAAAAUUAGAGGGGUGUUAUUUUUGUAACUCAAGAAAAAAAAAUAGUAGAAAAGUGACUAUUUUUUCUAGAAAAUCAUUAAUAUCGUUUGAUCGGAAUGACGUAGCAACAUUCUCCGCGCACGAAAAUGUGCAUUUUAGGAAGCUCUAAAAGUGGUUCUUUGACGACUUUGAUGAGGAAAUUGAAACAAAAAAGAUAAAGCGUUAACUGUUUUGACCAAAUUUGGAGCAUUUUCCCAUAGUUUUUUUUUAUAGGAUGACGCAAGAACAAACCGUUUUAUAGCUCUAUCUGUUUUGUUUUAAAUUUUUCAUAAAGUCGUCAAAGAACCACUUUUAGAGCUUCCAAAAACGCACAUUUUCGUGCGCGGAGAAUGUUGCUACGUCAUUCCGUUCAAAAGAUAUUUUAUAGAAAAAAACAGGCAAUUUUCUACUAUUUUUGCCUUUCUCGUACACCAAAGUGUACUGAAAGGCUAUAUAUUCACUCAAAAAACUAAUUUUCGAUAGAAGGCUCGGAGGGUCAAGUCACAUAUACCAAUCAACUCAGUUCGACUAAUUGAGGUGAUAUCUGUAUGUGUGUAUGUAUGUAUGUAUGUGUGUGUGUGUGUGUAUGUAUGUGUGUGUGUAUGUAUGGCUGUGUACAAAAAGGUCACUCACUUUUAAGGCACUUCCCAUUGGCCGAUUUUUCGGAUUAUAGCUCGAAUCGAACCGGAAUUUUAUUGUUUGCUGUUAAAAAUGGUCCGGAUCGGUCAAGGCGUUCCGGAGUUAUGGCCAUUUGAGCGAUCCGGACCAGCACCGGUAGAACUGGCCACAUAUAAAACUGAACCAAGCCACAUCAUGCGACACAUCAAACUGCGGUGAUUUUUGUAACCUUCAGCAUGGCUGACAAAUUUUGUGUGGAUAUCAACACAGAAGACCGAAAAUUCUACAAUGUCGGUCCAAAACUCAAGAUGGCGGUCUAAAAUCCAAAAUGGCAGCUCCAUAUUCAAGAUGGCGGCUGUAUAAUGGAGUUUUAAGCCCUAAACCAUGCAAUAUGGGUAUAUUUUGUAUAGGGAAGAUGUCUGGAGUCCAUAAAUGGCGAUUUGAAUAUCCAAGAUGGCGGUCUAAAAUCCAAGAUGGCGGCUCCAAAUUCAAGAUGGUGGUGUUUUUGGCUCUAAAUCCAUGCAAUAAGGGUACAUUUUGUAUGGGCAAGAUGUCCGGAGUCCAAAAAUGGUGACCAGAAUAUCCAAGAUAGCGGUUUAAAAUCCAAAAUGGCGACUCCAAAUUCAAGAUGGCGGCUGAAUAACGGAGUUUUAGGCCCUAAAACCGUGCAAUAAGGGUAUAUUUUGUAUGGGUAAAAUGUCUGGAGUCCAAAAAUGGCGACCUGAAUAUCCAAUAUGGCGGUCUAAAUUCAAGAUGGUGGCUUCAAAUUCAAGAUGGAGGCUGUUUGAUGGAUUUUUGGGCCCUAAAACUAUGAAAAAUGGUAUAAGGAAGAUAUCCGGAGUCCAAAAAUGGCGACCACAAUUUCCAAGAGGGCGAUCUAAAAUCCAAAAUGGCUGCUCCAAAUUCAAGACGGCGGCUGUUUAAAGCAGUUUUAGACCCUAAAUGCGUGUAAUAUGGGUAUAUUUGGUAUAGGGAAGAUGUCUGGAGUGCAAAAAUGGCGACCGCAAAAUGCAAAAUGGUGGCCCAAACACCAAGAUGGUGGCUCCAAAUUCAAGAUGGUGGCUGUUUAAUGGCGUUGUAAGCUCUAAAUCCAUGUCAUGGGUUUAUUUGAAAUAGGGACGAAUUCUGGAAGCAAAAAAAUAGUGACCGGAAUAUCCAAGAUGGCGAAUUAAAAUCCAAGAUGGCGGCUCCAAAUUCAAGAUGGUGGCUGUUCAAUGGAGUUCUGGGCUCUAAAACCAUGCAAUAUGGGUAUAUCUGGUAUGGGGAAGAAGUGUGGAGUCCAAAAAUAAAGACCAGAAUAUUCAAAAUGGCGGACUUAAAUCCAAAAUUGCGGCUCAAAAUUCAAGAUAGCGGCUUUUUCUUAAGAGUUUGAGGCUCAAACAUCAAAGCUACAUAAACGAUAUGAUUUCUGGUGCCAUGUAAUGGAUUUUUGUUUAACGUAUGAAAGUGUGAUGUUCAUCAACAUGUCACUUGAAUUUUGUUGAAAUGUGUUUUCGAAGGCACGAGAAAGGCGCCAUCACCGCUAGGUGGAUUAAUUAGGGUUUUUUCUUGUGUUACUAAAAUAACAC